GCCCGGAUGGUGAAAUUGGUAGACACAAGGGAUUUAAAAUCCCUCGCUCUUUAGAGCGUGCCGGUUCAAGUCCGGCUCUGGGCA
rnacentral:tRNA from 1 species